rnacentral:misc_RNA from 1 species
AAGUCGUAACAAGGUUUCCGUAGGUGAACCUGCGGUUGGAUCAUUAAAAAAUUUGAAGGCGCUCCUACACAUAAUCCUUUGGAUUUACUGUAGUUGAACGUUCUUCUGUCUGAAAAGUCAACACUUUGUGCACUAGAAAUGUUUUUGGGAGUUUAUGACUCCCAGCAUUAUAAACCAAUUUUUAUAUAUUAGUCUAAUAGUUUUUCAUAUAAUGAAAUAUAUAAAAACAACUUUUGACAACGGAUCUCUUGGCUCUC